GGGAUCAUUACAAGUGACCCCGGUUUACCACCGGGAUGUUCAUAACCCUUUGUUGUCCGACUCUGUUGCCUCCGGGGCGACCCUGCCUUCGGGCGGGGGCUCCGGGUGGACACUUCAAACUCUUGCGUAACUUUGCAGUCUGAGUAAACUUAAUUAAUAAAUUAAAACUUUUAACAACGGAUCUCUUGGUUCUGGCAUCGAUGAAGAACGCAGCGAAAUGCGAUAAGUAAUGUGAAUUGCAGAAUUCAGUGAAUCAUCGAAUCUUUGAACGCACAUUGCGCCCCCUGGUAUUCCGGGGGGCAUGCCUGUUCGAGCGUCAUUUCACCACUCAAGCCUCGCUUGGUAUUGGGCAACGCGGUCCGCCGCGUGCCUCAAAUCGACCGGCUGGGUCUUCUGUCCCCUAAGCGUUGUGGAAACUAUUCGCUAAAGGGUGCUCGGGAGGCUACGCCGUAAAACAACCCCAUUUCUAAGGUUGACCUCGGAUCAGGUAGGGAUACCCGCUGAACU
rnacentral:rRNA from 1 species